rnacentral:rRNA from 1 species
GACGAACGCUGGCGGCGUGCUUAACACAUGCAAGUCGAACGGAAAGGCCCUGCUUUUGUGGGGUGCUCGAGUGGCGAACGGGUGCGUAACACGUGAGUAACCUGCCCUUGACUUUGGGAUAACUUCAGGAAACUGGGGCUAAUACCGGAUAGGAGCUCCUGCUGCAUGGUGGGGGUUGGAAAGUUUCGGCGGUUGGGGAUGGACUCGCGGCUUAUCAGCUUGUUGGUGGGGUAGUGGCUUACCAAGGCUUUGACGGGUAGCCGGCCUGAGAGGGUGACCGGGCACAUUGGGACUGAGAUACGGACCAGACUCCUACGGGAGGCAGCAGUGGGGAAUAUUGCACAAUGGGCGGAAGUCUGAUGCAGCAACGCCGCGUGCGGGAUGACGGCCUUCGGGUUGUAAACCGCUUUCGCCUGUGACGAAGCGUGAGUGACGGUAAUGGGUAAAGAAGCACCGGCUAACUACGUG